GUGCCUAGCUUGGGUCCUCAAGGUCCCCUGUCCGGCAUUUUUUAAAUGUCUCCCACUUCCAACGUGCCUGAUUGAUAUGAUCAGGAACAUUAUCAGGCUUCUCAGCGCUUGCUGAUUAUGCUGCUGAUUAGAAUCAGUUAUAGAGAGAGAGAGAGAGAGAGAGAGAGAGAG